ACACACACACACACUUGUUGUUCCCGCCCACUCACACAGGAGGUCCACACGCUAACUAGCGAUGAUGGUUUGCCCUCUGACAUGACCUCUGAGGAUGGCUCCACCCUCAACGCUAUAGGCCAUGCCCUCAUCCAGAUGCAGCAAGGUGGACAGACCACCCCCUCAUCUCAGUUCCUCAUCACUAGGAGCACCUCAUCUGGUUCAGAGUCUGGCCAAAAAUUAAUGGUGAAUAAAGAAGGCCAAAUUUAUCAGUGUGACGAUUGCUUUUUUGCCAAAUCCAAAAGUUAUAGUCCUCGAUAAGUUAUUCAAGUGCUUGUACAUACUAAUUACAUGUAGAACCAUGAGUAUUAUUGCUAAUGUUUGAUAUAAAAAUAAGGUUUCUUGGAAGUGGUGUUGAAAAAUAGUCAGUUUUUACUAUGUUGUUGUGUGUGUUGAGGUCCUCUGUAUGUGAUGAUCCCACCAUCCAGUAGUGCUGAGAUACUGCAUGCAAUGGGUCGACCUAUAGCACCCAAGAUGAGCGGGAUAUCAACUAUGGAUUAUCACACGGUCGACCCCAUCGUUGAAAUGCAGUUGUCUGGAGAUAUGGCCGCCAACAGGGAAGCUCAGAGGAAGGCUGCACACAAUGAAGUUGAGUCUCAUCCCUACAACAACAACCAUCGCUGCCUUCUGGAGCCUCUAAUCCAAACACACCACUCUUAAGCUCACUCGUACAAACUCUAUCCUCCAUUGCGAGCACGACCACUUCUCCGUCCACUCCCUUACCGAAAUCCUCCAUGCUGUCACAAGCCAACAACAAUGGCGGUGGUGGUGGUGGUGGUGGUCUCUCUGCCGCGGCUGCUGCUAGUCUGCUCAACACUCUGAUUCUGGCUCAGAAUGUGCUCACAAGCAACUCAAGUGCUGGUAGCCCCGGGCAAGAUUCAAUGUCUAUGGAAACGGUGGACCAAUCCUCUCAACAGUAGUGUACAGUAUAUUAUAAUUGUGGACUGUUUAUACUGUUCUAGUUUUAACGUGUGUUUUUUAGUAA